GUGUAGCGGUGAAAUGCGUAGAUAUAUGGAAGAACACCAGUGGCGAAGGCGGCUGUCUGGUCUGUAACUGACGCUGAGGCUCGAAAGCAUGGGUAGCGAACAGGAUUAGAUACCCUGGUAGUCCAUGCCGUAAACGAUGAAUGCUAGGUGUUGGAGGGUUUCCGCCCUUCAGUGCCGCAGCUAACGCAUUAAGCAUUCCGCCUGGGGAGUACGACCGCAAGGUUGAAACUCAAAGGAAUUGACGGGGGCCCGCACAAGCGGUGGAGCAUGUGGUUUAAUUCGAAGCAACGCGAAGAACCUUACCAGGUCUUGACAUCUUUUGAUCACCUGAGAGAUCAGGUUUCCCCUUCGGGGGCAAAAUGACAGGUGGUGCAUGGUUGUCGUCAGCUCGUGUCGUGAGAUGUUGGGUUAAGUCCCGCAACGAGCGCAACCCUUAUGACUAGUUGCCAGCAUUUAGUUGGGCACUCUAGUAAGACUGCCGGUGACAAACCGGAGGAAGGUGGGGAUGACGUCAAAUCAUCAUGCCCCUUAUGACCUGGGCUACACACGUGCUACAAUGGAUGGUACAACGAGUUGCGAGACCGCGAGGUCAAGCUAAUCUCUUAAAGCCAUUCUCAGUUCGGACUGUAGGCUGCAACUCGCCUACACGAAGUCGGAAUCGCUAGUAAUCGCGGAUCAGCACGCCGCGGUGAAUACGUUCCCGGGCCUUGUACACACCGCCCGUCACACCAUGAGAG
rnacentral:rRNA from 1 species